AGCUCCAAUAGCGUAUAUUAAAGUUGUUGCAGUUAAAAAGCUCGUAGUUGAAACUUGGGCCUGGCUGGCGGGUCCGCCUCACCGCGUGCACUCGUCCGGCCGGGCCUUCCUUCUGAAGAACCUCAUGCCCUUCACUGGGCGUGCUGGGGAAUCAGGACUUUUACUUUGAAAAAAUUAGAGUGUUCAAAGCAGGCCUUUGCUCGAAUACGUUAGCAUGGAAUAAUAAAAUAGGGCGUGCGUUUCUAUUUUGUUGGUUUCUAGAGACGCCGCAAUGAUUAACAGGAACAGUCGGGGGCAUCAGUAUUCAGUUGUCAGAGGUGAAAUUCUUGGAUUUACUGAAGACUAACUACUGCGAAAGCAUUUGCCAAGGAUGUUUUCA
rnacentral:rRNA from 1 species